UACGUAGGGGGCAAGCGUUGUCCGGAAUCAUUGGGCGUAAAGCGCGCGUAGGCGGCCCGGUCAGUCCGUUGUGAAAGUCAAAGGCUCAACCUUUGAAUGCCGACGGAUACAGUCGGGCUCGAGUCCGGAAGAGGCGAGUGGAAUUCCUGGUGUAGCGGUGAAAUGCGCAGAUAUCAGGAGGAACACCAAUGGCGAAGGCAGCUCGCUGGGACGUGACUGACGCUGAGACGCGCAAGCGUGGGGAGCAAACAGG
rnacentral:rRNA from 1 species